GACAUUAAAGCCUCCAUAGUUAUUAAUAUUCCUGGCAGCAUUAAGGAUUGAUCUACAGCAGCCCACACUAAAUGGAGGAAUACUCCAAAUACAUAUUUGUUUAAUCUGUCACAUUACCACAUAUAGAACCACGUACUGAUUUUACUUUGCAUCCCCCUCUCAUCAUUUUCAUGAGACAUGACUGGACUAAACCAUUACAUACAACAUGUUAUGAUGGAAGAACUGGGCGAUAAAAUGGGGAAGCAAACAAACAACCUGCUCCUGUCUCCUGUCAAAUCGGCUACAUCAGACCAAAUCACACCAAUAAUCUGCUCCGACGAACACUCAUUUGACAACAUUUAACAUCUGGCGGAGAGGGAUUAAGGCUAGGGAAGCGAUCGGCGGCGAAAAGGCUUAAAGCGGAGCUAACAGCUGAUGCUGCUGUCAUGACGUCAGAGGGAGAAGAUGCUCCUCCAGUUUCCAGAGGAGGAGGAUCCUGCAUCCCGGAGAUGCUGCGCACAGGACGCAUCCUCAGCUGCACCCGGCCUCACCAACUCACCGGAUAAAUAAUGCGAUUUCACCGUGCGCGGGAAAGAAAAAAAAAAAAAAGACGCAAUGUUGUUUGUCAGUACAGGGCAUGCUGACACUUUCACGCAGGAAUAGAUUUAUUUUUAUGUUUGUCCCACAGGGGAAAUAAAGCUGACAUGUUUCAAGUAACCGCAUCUUACUUAAAUAUAACUGUACAUCUUCAUUUUCACAGUUUAACUGAGCCAUCUGCAGUUUUGUUUUUUGGUAUUUUAUUACAAGUGUGAAGAUGUAUGAUGUGGUUAAAGAAAUGUACAUGGCAAAUGUCGGAUUGACUCAUAUUUCGGUGUUAUAAACCCACUGCACUUAAAUCUUACACGAACUAUUUUGCUUCCACCAUCAGAACUUCAUUUCUAGCUGUGAAGCAGCAGAUUGAUCUUAACAUUUGUUGAAAUGUAGCACCGCAGCUGACUAUAUCCACACAAUAAACUAACCUGGCUAUUUUAUUAUAUUAUAUUUUAUUGACAGUUCUUUGGUCCUGCUUUGUCCGACCAGCAGUCACAAACCCAGUACAACUUGGUGUACACUGACAAAAAACAAACAAACAAACAAACAAAAAAAACAGCAAAUGUUUCCAUCAGAGAAGCUAAAACCUGAGAUCAGUCAGAGGUUUGUAAUAAAGAAUGACUGAAACUUAUAUAUAUAUAAAUCAACACAUUAUCUGAGGGGAAUUUGUUUAUUGAUGUUAUUGUAGCAACUAUUAUAAAACUACAUCACAUGUUUAAAAGAAUAAAAUAUGAUGAUUUUUUUCCUCA